GAUGAACGCUAGCGGCAGGCUUAAUACAUGCAAGUCGAGGGGCAGCAGGACUGUAGCAAUACAGUUGCUGGCGACCGGCAAACGGGUGCGGAACACGUACGCAACCUUCCUUUAAGUGAGGGAUAGCCCAGGGAAACUUGGAUUAAUACCUCGUAAUAUUUGAGAGUGGCAUCACUUUUUAAUUAUAGCUCCGGCGCUUAAAGAUGGGCGUGCGACGGAUUAGGUAGUUGGCGGGGUAACGGCCCACCAAGCCUGCGAUCAGUAACUGGUGUGAGCGCACGACCAGUCACACAGGCACGGAGACACGGGCCCGACUCCUACGGGAGGCAGCAGUAAGGAAUAUUGGUCAAUGGACGCAAGUCUGAACCAGCCAUGCCGCGUGGAGGAUGAAGGUCCUCUGGAUUGUAAACUUCUUUUAUCUGGGAAGAAACCCAUAUUUUCUAGUGUGGUUGACGGUACCAGAUGAAUAAGCACCGGCUAACUCCGUGCCAGCCGCCGCCGUAAGAC
rnacentral:rRNA from 1 species